rnacentral:lncRNA from 1 species
GCUCGCUCAUCUUUUCUAGUAAAAAGUGACUUGAUCAUUUUUUUAAAAAAACAUGACUCAUAAGUUGGAAGUAAUUCACAAUCACUGACUUCGAGAAUUUUUUCUUGUGUCAACCUAUUUAUUCUGUUCUUAUUAAUAUGAUCUAACCUAUAGUGCUAAAGGUAGAUAUCGGAGACAUCACUAAUUCUAAGACGUUUGCUGGAUGUGU